UACGUAGGAGACGAGCGUUGUCCGGAAUUACUGGGCGUAAAGCGCGUGUAGGCGGAUGAGCAAGUCUGCUGUGAAAGCUCCUGGCUUAACCGGGAGUGGUCGGUGGAAACUGCUCGUCUGGAGGACGGUAGAGGUAGGUAGAAUUCCCGGUGUAGUGGUGAAAUGCGUAGAGAUCGGGAGGAAUACCUGUGGCGAAGGCGGCCUACUGGGCCGGACCUGACGCUGAGGCGCGAAGGCUAGGGGGAGCGAACGGG
rnacentral:rRNA from 1 species